rnacentral:rRNA from 1 species
AUACGUAGGUGGCAAGCGUUGUCCGGAUUUAUUGGGCGUAAAGCGAGCGCAGGCGGUUUCUUAAGUCUGAUGUGAAAGCCCCCGGCUCAACCGGGGAGGGUCAUUGGAAACUGGGAGACUUGAGUGCAGAAGAGGAGAGUGGAAUUCCAUGUGUAGCGGUGAAAUGCGUAGAUAUAUGGAGGAACACCAGUGGCGAGGGCGACUCUCUGGUCUGUAACUGACGCUGAGGCUCGAAAGCGUGGGGAGCAAACAGGAUUAGAUACCCUGGUAGUCCACGCCGUAAACGAUGAGUGCUAAGUGUUGGAGGGUUUCCGCCCUUCAGUGCUGCAGCUAACGCAUUAAGCACUCCGCCUGGGGAGUACGCCGGCAACGGUGAAACUCAAAGGAAUCGGCGGGG